ACAACAACAAUAAAAAGCUUCAAAAAGAAUAUUUCGACUCUGAAAAAACAAGAACAACAGCCCAGAGAAGAAGCAAACCGAUUUUUUUGGACAGGGUGUGUCGUUCCAUACCCGGUGACCAGAGCAACAGAAGAAUAAAACUACCUUGAGGUAGCGGCGCUCCGGUUGGUUCAGAAAUGACGAUGGCAUGAUCAGCGUCCAAAAAAAUCCGUUUGCCCUCGGUCCAUGUUGGGACCUGCCAUCUUCGGUUCGCUAGUAACCGAAAGCUAAAAACAACAACGAACACCGAUAAAAACAACAACAAGAAAUCGAAAUAACAUUUGAGGGGAGCCCAGGCUCCCCUCAGUGCUUUCUGGUAUUCAGUAAUGGUGUUUCCC
rnacentral:sRNA from 1 species